UUUCCUGAUGCUACUGCCACUCCCAAUGUCCGUGAAGAGAAGAUGCAAAAUGGCCAACCAGUACCUGAUAAUGUCUUGUCAAUAGUUCUACCAGGGAUUAUUAAUAUGGAAGCAGAUGGUAUUUCUUCCCUAAGUACCAAGGAUCUGUAUACUACAGUCACUCACAAUGGCUGUGAAGAGAAGAUAAAUAAUGGCCAACCAGCACCUGAUAACUUCUUGUCAGCCAUUACACCAGGGCUUAUUAAUCUGUCAGGAGCUGAUAUUCCACCCAUGAGUACCAGGGAUCAGUAUGCUACUGUCACUCACAAUGUCCAUGAAGAGAAGAUGGAAGAUGGCCAACCAGCACCUGAUAACGUCUUGUCAGCUAUUCCACCAGGGCUUAUUAAUAUGGCAGGAGCUGGUAUUCCAGCCAUGAGUACCAAUGAUCUGUAUGCUACCAUCACUCACAAUGUUGGUGAAAAGACUAUAAAAACAGCCAACCAACACCUGAUACCUUGAGGGCCACUGUUCCACCAGGGCUUACUAAUUUGGCAGGAGCUGGUAUUCCGGCCAUGAAUCCCAGGGAUCUGUAUGCCACCGCCACUCACAAUGUCCAUGAGGAGAAGAUGAAAAAUGGCCAAAAAGCAUCUGAUAACUCCUUGUCAAUGGUUCCACCAGGGCGUAUUAAUCUGUCAGGAGCUGGUAUUUCAUCCAGGAGUACCAGGGAUCUGUAUACUACUGUCAUUCAUGACAUCCCGGAGGAGGAGAUGGAAAACGGUCAAACUCCUCCUGAUGGCUUCCUGUCAAAUUCCGCUCCACCAGAGCUUAUAAAUAUGACAGGAGAUCGUAUGCCACACAACGCAUUGGAUAUUUUCUCUUACGACUUCACUAGUCUCAGCAAAGAUGAGCUGCUUUACAAACCUGAUAGUAAUGAAUUUGUGGUAGGCAUCAAAAACUACAGUGUUUCUGCAGGUGACCCACCAGUCACAGGAAUGCCUUCAGUGGAAACUGUGCCAAAUACACCACAAAUGUCUCCUGCCAUGAUAAAGAAAAUUAAUGACGAUAUAAAAUAUCAAUUAAUGAAAGAAGUUCAAAGGUUUGGGCGAAAUUAUGAAAGAAUUUUCAUUUUGCUUGAAGAAGUACAAGGAUCUAUGAAAGUCAAGGGACAAUUUGUUCAAUUUGCCAUCAAGGAAGCAGCAAGGUUUAAAAAAGUCGUCUUAAUUCAGCAACUUGAGAAGGCGCUUAAAGAAAUAGAUUCCCCUGGCAUCUCAGAAAAGUUAAGCACAUGAGAAAAAAAUAA